rnacentral:rRNA from 1 species
AUUGAACGCUGGCGGCAGGCCUAACACAUGCAAGUCGAGCGAGCGGCGGACGGGUGAGUAAUGUCUGGGAAACUGCCUGAUGGAGGGGGAGAACUCCUGGAAAAGGUAGCGACUACCGCAUACCAUCAGCAGUGCCCAGAUGGGAUUAGCUAGGAGGUGGGGUAAUGGCUCACCUAGGCGACGAUCCCUAGCUGGUCUGAGAGGAUGACCAGCCACACUGGAACUGAGACACGGUCCAGACUCCUACGGGAGGCAGCAGUGGGGAAUAUUGCACAAUGGGCGCAAGCCUGAUGCAGCCAUGCCGCGUGUAUGAAGAAGGCCUUCGGGUUGUAAAGUACUUUCAGUCGGGAGGCGUUACCGACAGAAGAAGCACCGGCUAACUCCGUGCCAGCCGCCGCGGUAAUAC